UACAUGGGGUGCAAACGUUGCUCGGAAUUAUUGGGCGUAAAGCGCACGUAGGCGGUUUGUUAAGUCGGAUGUGAAAUCCCUCGGCUCAACUGAGGAAGUGCAUCCGAAACUGGCAGGCUUGAGUACUAAAGAGGGUCGCGGAAUUCCCGGUGUAGAGGUGAAAUUCGUAGAUAUCGGGAGGAACACCGGUGGCGAAGGCGGCGACCUGGGUAGAUACUGACGCUGAGGUGGCGAAAAGCGUGGGGAGCAACGGG
rnacentral:rRNA from 1 species